GACGAACGCUGGCGGCGUGCUUAACACAUGCAAGUCGAACGAAGUGGCGAACGGGUGAGUAAUACGUGAGUAACCUGCCCUCCUUUUUGGGAUAAGCCUUGGAAACGGGGUCUAAUACCGGAUAAAGGGGGAUGGGCUCGCGGCCUAUCAGCUUGUUGGUGGGGUGAUGGCCUACCAAGGCGGUGACUGGUAGCCUGCCUGAGAGGGUGACCGGGCAAAUUGGGACUGAGGAACGGCCCCGACCCCUUCGGGGGGGAGCAGUGGGGGAUAUUGCAACAUGGGGGAAAGCCUGAUGCAGGCAUGCCGCGGGAGUGGAGAAGGUGUUCGGAUCGUAAAGCUCUGUUGUGAGAGAAGCGGUAACUAAACAGAAAGGGACGGCUAACUACGUGCCAGCAGCCGCGGUAAUAC
rnacentral:rRNA from 1 species